rnacentral:misc_RNA from 1 species
UUGAAGCUUACCUUGAUAAAGGUUAAAAAAACAACUUCGUUUUUAAAAAACAAAAAAAUAGUUUCCUCCGUACUAAUUACAUCCACAAUCUUACAGUUUACUAAUCACAUUUUUUUAAAAUACAAUAUCCAAAAACUAACUUGUACGCACCUCGACGAUAUUUUAUCUGCAUUCUAUUAAGGCUAAUCAUGUUUCAUAUUGAUGUUAAAACAACAAACAAG